rnacentral:sRNA from 1 species
CCUGAAAUAGUUUCAUGUUUAGAAAGCACUUGUGC